rnacentral:rRNA from 1 species
UCGAGGAUCUUUAGCAAUGGGCGAAAGCCUGACUAUGCGACGCCGCGUGGGGGAUGAAGGUCUUCGGAUCGUAAACCUCUUUCGAUGGAGCAAUCCAGAGAAGAAGCCACGGCCAACUCCGUGCCAGCAGCCGCGGUAAUACGGAGGUGGCAAGCGUUACUCGGAUUCAUUGGGUGUAAAGGGCAGGUAGGCGUCCCGACAAGUUUUGGGUGAAAUCCCUUCGCUUAACGAAGGAACUGCCCAGAAAACUGUCGGGAUUGAGGCUGGAAGAGGAGAGUGGAAUUCCCGGUGUAAGGGUGAAAUCUGUAGAUAUCGGGAGGAACACCAGUGGCGAAAGCGGCUCUCUGGUCUGGCCCUGACGCUCAGCUGCGAAAGCUAGGGGAGCAAACAGGAUUAGAUA